GACGAACGCUGGCGGCGUGCUUAACACAUGCAAGUCGAACGGAAAGGCCCUGCUUGCCGGGUGCUCGAGUGGCGAACGGGUGAGUAACACGUGGGUGAUCUGCCCCUUACUUUGGGAUAAGCCUGGGUAACUGGGUCUAAUACUGGAUAGGACCAUGCUGUAGGUGGUGUGGUGGAAAGAUUAGUUUCGGUAAGGGAUGAGCUCGCGGCCUAUCAGCUUGUUGGUGGGGUAAUGGCCUACCAAGGCGUCGACGGGUAGCCGGCCUGAGAGGGUGGACGGCCACAUUGGGACUGAGAGACGGCCCAGACUCCUACGGGAGGCAGCAGUGGGGAAUAUUGCACAAUGGGCGCAAGCCUGAUGCAGCGACGCCGCGUGGGGGAUGACGGCCUUCGGGUUGUAAACUCCUUUCAGCCAUGACGAAGCCCUUGUGGUGACGGUAGUGGUAGAAGAAGCACCGGCUAACUACGUG
rnacentral:rRNA from 1 species